rnacentral:tRNA from 1 species
GGAGGAAUACCCAAGAGGCUGAAGGGGCUCGCUUGGAAAGCGAGUAGAUCAGAAAUGAUGCAGGGGUUCAAAUCCCCUUUCCUCC